GACGAACGCUGGCGGCGUGCUUAACACAUGCAAGUCGAACGGAAAGGCCCUGCUUGCAGGGUACUCGAGUGGCGAACGGGUGAGUAACACGUGGGUGAUCUGCCCUGCACUUCGGGUUAAGCCUGGGAAACUGGGUCUAAUACCGGCUAGGAGCCAUUUUUAGUGUGAUGGUUGGAAAGUUUUUUCGGUGUAGGAUGAGCUCGCGGCCUAUCAGCUUGUUGGUGGGGUAAUGGCCUACCAAGGCGGCGACGGGUAGCCGGCCUGCGAGGGUGGACGGCCACAUUGGGACUGAGAGACGGCCCAGACUCCGACGGGAGGCAGAAGUGGGGAAGAUUGCACAAGGGGCGCAAGCCGGAUGCAGCGACGCCGCGUGGGGGAUGACGGCCUUAGGGUUGUAAACUCCAUGCGCAAGGGACGAAGCUUUUUGUGACGGUACCUAGAUAAGAAGCACCGGCUAACUACGUG
rnacentral:rRNA from 1 species